rnacentral:rRNA from 1 species
GAUGAACGCUGGCGGCGUGCCUAAUACAUGCAAGUAGAACGCUGAAGGAGGAGCUUGCUCUUCUGGAUGAGUUGCGAACGGGUGAGUAACGCGUAGGUAACCUGCCUGGUAGCGGGGGAUAACUAUUGGAAACGAUAGCUAAUACCGCAUAACAGUAGAUAUUGCAUGAUAUCUGCUUGAAAGGUGCAAUUGCAUCACUACCAGAUGGACCUGCGUUGUAUUAGCUAGUUGGUGAGGUAACGGCUCACCAAGGCGACGAUACAUAGCCGACCUGAGAGGGUGAUCGGCCACACUGGGACUGAGACACGGCCCAGACUCCUACGGGAGGCAGCAGUAGGGAAUCUUCGGCAAUGGACGGAAGUCUGACCGAGCAACGCCGCGUGAGUGAAGAAGGUUUUCGGAUCGUAAAGCUCUGUUGUAAGAGAAGAACGAGUGUGAGAGUGGAAAGUUCACACU